GUGAAGAAAAGUUGAAAAGUACUUUGAAGAGUUAACGAGUACGUGAAACCGUUCAGAGGUAAACCUAAGAAACCCAAAAAAUCGAACGGGGAGAUUCAUCGUCAACGAAACUGGCUUCGCGUCGGUGGGCGAUAACCCCGCGGUGUGUCCUAAGCGGCACGCGCGUGCGGGCACGCUACCGAACGCCGAUGUCCGGUUUUCGUCGUCGUGCACUUCUCUCCUAGUAGAACGUCGCGACUCGCUGUGUGUCGGUCACCGACCCGGGUGCGGUUACUGUCACGUCGCCCGUAAAAACGGCGCGCGGCAAA
rnacentral:rRNA from 1 species